AUAUUAUCAGAUUAUUACAUGGCAUUUUUCAUAUCGCAUGUAUUAUCAGCCCUAGGUUCAAUAUCAGCCCAAGAGCCGCAUGGCUCGAGGGCUGAUAUUGACCGAGGGCUGAUAAUACAUGCGAUAUGAAAAAUGGCAUGUUAUGAUCUUUUUAUCAUAUGCUUCAACAGUAGAGAAAAAUAACAGAUUAUAUAUUGAUCCUUUUACGUGGUUCCCGAAGAUUAAAGAGUAAAAAUGUUCACGGCCGUCGGACCCAAAAUUGAUACAUUCAAUAUGAAAUCUUUCUAUCAUAUGCCUCAACAGAGAGAGAGAAAAAACAUUUUGAUAUGGACGAAUCGACCAAAAAAUAAUACAACAAUAUACAUAAUGAUCAUUGUUUGGAAAAGUCAACUUUCUAAAGAAACUUUC
rnacentral:lncRNA from 1 species